GAUGAAGAACGCAGCAAAAUGCGAUAAGUAAUGUGAAUUGCAGAAUUCAGUGAAUCAUCGAAUCUUUGAACGCACAUUGCGCCCGCUGGUAUUCCGGCGGGCAUGCCUGUUCGAGCGUCAUUUCAACCCUCAAGCCCCCGGGUUUGGUGUUGGGGAUCGGCUCUGCCCUUCUGGGCGGUGCCGCCCCCGAAAUACAUUGGCGGUCUCGCUGCAGCCUCCAUUGCGUAGUAGCUAACACCUCGCAACUGGAACGCGGCGCGGCCAUGCCGUAAAACCCCAACUUCUGAAUGUUGACCUCGGAUCAGGUAGGAAUAACCGCUGAACUUAAGCAUAUCAAUAAGCGGAGGA
rnacentral:misc_RNA from 1 species